rnacentral:tmRNA from 1 species
GGGGGUGAUCGGCUUUGACGGUCUGUACCUUGAAAGAUGUGCGACGCAGUGCAUUCUCGCCAACACUGUAACUAGCGAGAAACCAAACUUGCCAAGAACCUCUUUGCAAGCGUGAAGUCCCCAUACUUCGGUAUGCGUGACUUCACGUUCGCUCACGUCUCCGCUUCGGCGUAACCUGAGCGACGUUUGUCUCCUUCCGGUGCUCACAGCGUGGGAGACAGGCGGAAUUAUCUGUGAGCUAGAGCGGUGGGUCGUCCAACCAACGCUCGAAUCUGCGGACUAGGGAAAAGAAUGGUUUCGUCCUGAUUCUUCACAUCUUUUCUUAAAUCCGCCAUCUGGCGGACAAUCGGGACUAUGCGUCGUAGAUUCUCUUUCAUAGACGGAUUCGGACUCGGGUUCGAUUCCCGACACUUCCAUGA